AUAAAAUGAGAUCAUGUGUGUGACAGUUCUUUGCAACUUUCAUAUUUCUUUAGCACAGAGCUAUACAAAAGAGAGCUAUUUAAUUUUUUUCUCUUUGGCUUAGAGCACAGAAGCUUUCAGGGUGGAGAGUCAGGACAGGUUCUAUGGACAUAUGGAGCUCCCAGGGGGCUUGUGCAGGACUCAAGGAAAUGUCCAGCUUAACCUGCUGGGCAUAACAAUUUUGCUGCUUCAACCCAUCUGCUAUGGAAAAUGAGGAGCCAACAAAAAAGGGAGAAACAGAGGUGAAGGCACCUGAUAAUGAAAGCUUUAAGAAAGGGAAGGGGUAAGUACAUGCCGUCAGGUGAACCCAGAAGUCAAUAAAGAUGAAAAGUCCUUUGGACAUGACCAAGAGAUUAUUGAUGCAAUCUGCUGAUGUCUUAGAAUGUGCCUUGCCUAGGCUGGUGCCUGUGAGCUGGCAGAAGUGUGAUGCCCUUCUCUGCUAGUAUCAAUAAAAUCACACGAGAUAUUCUUGCUCCAUUCCCAGGUAUAUCCUGAGUCAUUCAUUUCAACCCAGCUUAACCCCAUCCUCACCUUCAGAGUUCUUUACCCUUGGAAUCAAUUCGUGUUGAAGACCUCAUAUCAUCUGCCUUAAAACCACUGAUCCACAUUGCCAUUCUGUUCUGACCUCUGGCUGACUUGCUUAGGUUAACAGCCUAGACUUCUUUCUUGAAAUUCGCCGCAGCGAAACCUUGUGAUUCAGCCAGCCAAACCAGUAAUUCAUACUCAUCCCUCUAGCAAACGAAACCCUGAAGCUGCUAAUGAGAAAAGGCAUAUGCAAGCCACAGUGUGUUGAGGCAGAGAAGGUAGCUGCAGAGGGCAGAAGGGAGUCUGAUAGAGCUGGAGGAGGCUGUACUAAAACAUAGUGAUUAUGAGCUUGGGCCCUGGGGUUCAAACGCCAGCUAUCCCAUUUCUUAGCUGUGUCCUUGGCCUGGUUAUUUAACCGCUCUAACCCUCAACUCUCUACUCAAUUUUUCCUAGACCCCAGUGCUAAGCAUAUGGCAGGUGUUCGAUAUUGAGUAAAUGAAUAAGUUCAUACAGAUGAAAAAAACAAGGCCCAGUAUGGUUGAUACAUAUCUAAUUAAUAGCUAAUGAAAAAAACGGCAAUCCUCCAUAUUAAAGCCAAGCUACAUGUCAUUUCUUAAAGAAAUCAAGUUAAAGUCUCAUCAAAAUGAUAGAUUUUAUUUAGCCAAUACUUCAUAGUGCUAGACAUGACACCCAGUGCUUCAUAAUUUCCUUGUGUAUUUGGUAUAAUUAUUGUCUCCAUUUUACCUAUGAGAUAAUUGAGAUACAAAGAGGUUACAGAACUAAUAUGAUUCCUAAAAGAUUUACUCAAGGAAUACUGUGAUCCUUAACAAAUAGCCUUUUUGAAAUGUACUAAUUUGGACUACCAUUUUCUCUGCCUCUCUGUUCCUAAUUGUCACAGGUUCUUCCUCCCUACUUGACCACAGGCAUGUCUCAGCAUUGGGAAGAGUCCUAGGAUGCAUUGUAAAAGAAAGUCUGUAAUUUUGGUGCAUCAAGGAACAAAAGUGUGGAAACAUCCAGCCUCUGGCUGCUGGACACUCCCCUUCUUCCUUCUCACCAUACUGUCUGUAAUAAAGAAUAAAGUGUUAUUUAAUA